rnacentral:lncRNA from 1 species
AGAUUUCAUUGUACAUGACAGGAAAAGUAUUCGACUAACCAUCACUGUGUGAAGAGCUGAGCUGGUCCAUGUGUGUUUAAGGAUGUUGCUUCACAAGCAAGAUCCAUGACUUUGAUGGAUCCAUGACUGUAAUAGGAUGAACAGUGUUCAGUAGAAUUGUGACUGAUUGAUAGUGGUGUUUUAUAUGAAUUGUGAUAAGUGAUAGAUGAACAAUACUUGUAACUUUGGUUUAUUUUAGCUGUACACUUAAUAAAUAUGGAAAGGACGGG